rnacentral:lncRNA from 1 species
CAGAGCUGCCUUCCUCCUGUCCUUUCUGGGGGCUUUCAGCAGACACCUCUGUUGUGGCAGCUGGACUUCUGACUGGUGAUGUGGGACUCUGAAGCCUUCUCCCAACUUCUUCCAUUUUCAGCAGGAGACUGGUAACCACUGCUAUAGCCCGGUACAACAGUUCCUCCUCAGGAUCUCCGUGGAAUAGAUUGUACAGAGUUUUUGAGAACUGGAUGAACUGAGACUGAUUCAUUCUUGGCAAAUCCUUAAUGUUUUCUUCUUUUUUAAGAAGUUCAUCUUGCCAUUGCUUCAGAUAGGCCUGAAUAUCAACCUUGCCCUUCCCUUUUUCUGGGCUGCUCUUCAAAGCAUCACUUUCAAGACUAUCCCCAG